rnacentral:rRNA from 1 species
AUUGAACGCUGGCGGCAGGCCUAACACAUGCAAGUCGAGCGGAUGAAGGGAGCUUGCUCCUGGAUUCAGCGGCGGACGGGUGAGUAAUGCCUAGGAAUCUGCCUGGUAGUGGGGGAUAACGUCCGGAAACGGGCGCUAAUACCGCAUACGUCCUGAGGGAGAAAGUGGGGGAUCUUCGGACCUCACGCUAUCAGAUGAGCCUAGGUCGGAUUAGCUAGUUGGUGGGGUAAAGGCCUACCAAGGCGACGAUCCGUAACUGGUCUGAGAGGAUGAUCAGUCACAGGGGAGAUGAGACACGGUGGAGACUAGUCCGGGCGUCAGCAGUGGGGUUUAUUGGAGAAGGGGCGCAAUUCUGAACCAGCUAUAGGGGGGGGGGGAAGAAAGUAUUUGGAUUGUAAAGCCUUUUUGCUUGGAAAGAAAAGCAGCAGGGUAAUACCUCGCUGUUCGGACGGUAGGAAAAGAAUAAGAACCGGCUAACUUGGUG